UACAGAGGGGGCAAGCGUUAUUCGGAAUUAUUGGGCGUAAAGGGCGCGUAGGCGGCUUGGCAAGUGGAAGGUGAAAUCCCUCGGCUUAACCGAGGAACUGCCCUCCAAACUGCUUUGCUUGAGGCCGGGAGAGGUGAGUGGAAUUCCCAGUGUAGCGGUGAAAUGCGUUGAUAUCGAUAGGAACUCCAGUGGCGAAGGCGACCACCUGGACUGAUACUGACACUGAGGUGCGAAAGCGUGGGGAGCAAACAGG
rnacentral:rRNA from 1 species